rnacentral:rRNA from 1 species
CUACGGGAGGCACCAGUGGGGAAUAUUGGACAAUGGGGGAAACCCUGAUCCAGCAAUGCCGCGUGUGUGAAGAAGGCCUGCGGGUUGUAAAGCACUUUCGGUUGGGAGGACUGCUUCUAGCACUAAUAUUGUUGGAAGUUGACGUUACCUUCAGAAGAAGCACCGGCUAACUCCGCGCCAGCAGCCGCGGUAAUACGGAGGGUGCAGGCGUUAAUCGGAAUUACUGGGCGUAAAGCGCGCGUAGGCGGCUAGAUCAGUCGGGUGUGAAAGCCCCGGGCUUAACCUGGGAACUGCAUCCGAUACUGUCUAGCUUGAGUACAGGAGAGGAGAGUGGAAUUCCACAUGUAGCGGUGAAAUGCGUAGAUAUGUGGAGGAACACCAAUGGCGAAGGCAGCUCUCUGGCCUGAUACUGACGCUGAGGUGCGAAAGCGUGGGGAGCAAACAGGAUUAGAUACCCCUGUAGUC